AGAAUCAACGCUGGCGGCGUGCCUAACACAUGCAAGUCGAACGAGAAAGUGGAGCAAUCCAUGAGUAAAGUGGCGCACGGGUGAGUAACACGUGACUAACCUACCCUUGAGUGGGGGAUAACCUAGGGAAACCUGGGCUAAUACCGCAUAAUACCUUCGGGUCAAAGCAGCAAUGCGCUUGGAGAGGAGUUCGCGGCCGAUUAGCUAGUUGGCGGGUAAUGGCCCACCAAGGCGAUGAUCGGUA
rnacentral:rRNA from 1 species